GGAGCUUGCUCCCGGAUGUUAGCGGCGGACGGGUGAGUAACACGUGGGUAACCUGCCUGUAAGACUGGGAUAACUCCGGGAAACCGGAGCUAAUACCGGAUAGUUCCUUGAACCGCAUGGUUCAAGGAUGAAAGACGGUUUCGGCUGUCACUUACAGAUGGACCCGCGGCGCAUUAGCUAGUUGGUGAGGUAACGGCUCACCAAGGCGACGAUGCGUAGCCGACCUGAGAGGGUGAUCGGCCACACUGGGACUGAGACACGGCCCAGACUCCUACGGGAGGCAGCAGUAGGGAAUCUUCCGCAAUGGACGAAAGUCUGACGGAGCAACGCCGCGUGAGUGAUGAAGGUUUUCGGAUCGUAAAGCUCUGUUGUUAGGGAAGAACAAGUGCAAGAGUAACUGCUUGCACCUUGACGGUACCUAACCAGAAAGCCACGGCUAACUACGUGCCAGCAGCCGCGGUAAUACGUAGGUGGCAAGCGUUGUCCGGAAUUAUUGGGCGUAAAGGGCUCGCAGGCGGUUUCUUAAGUCUGAUGUGAAAGCCCCCGGCUCAACCGGGGAGGGUCAUUGGAAACUGGGAAACUUGAGUGCAGAAGAGGAGAGUGGAAUUCCACGUGUAGCGGUGAAAUGCGUAGAGAUGUGGAGGAACACCAGUGGCGAAAGCGACUCUCUGGUCUGUAACUGACGCUGAGGA
rnacentral:rRNA from 1 species